GACGAACGCUGGCGGCGUGCUUAACACAUGCAAGUCGAACGGAAAGGCCCUGCUUGCAGGGUACUCGAGUGGCGAACGGGUGAGUAACACGUGGGUGAUCUGCCCUGCACUUCGGGAUAAGCUUGGGAAACUGGGUCUAAUACCGGAUAGGACCGCACUUUAGUGUGUGUGGUGGAAAGUUUUUUCGGUGUAGGAUGAGCUCGCGGCCUAUCAGCUUGUUGGUGGGGUAAUGGCCUACCAAGGCGGCGACGGGUAGCCGGCCUGAGAGGGUGUACGGCCACAUUGGGACUGAGAUACGGCCCAGACUCCUACGGGAGGCAGCAGUGGGUAAUAUUGCACAAUGGGCGCAAGCCUGAUGCAGCGACGCCGCGUGGGGGAUGAAGGCCUUCGGGUUGUAAACUCCUUUCGCUAGGGACGAAGCUUUUUGUGACGGUACCUAGAUAAGAAGCACCGGCUAACUACGUG
rnacentral:rRNA from 1 species